rnacentral:rRNA from 1 species
CGGGAAUUUUGGACAAUGGGCGAAAGCCUGAUCCAGCAACGCCGCGUGAAGGAUGAAGGUCUUCGGAUUGUAAACUUCUUUUAGAGGGAACGAAUAAAUUGACGGUACUCUCAGAAAAAGCCACGGCUAACUACGUGCCAGCAGCCGCGGUAAUACGUAGGUGGCAAGCGUUACUCGGAUUUACUAGGCGUAAAGCGUGUGUAGGUGGUUGGAUAAGUCUGUGGUGAAAUCUCUCGGUGCAACCGGGAGGGGUUCACAGAAACUAUCCGGCUUGAGUGUGGUAGGGGAAGACGGAAUUCCUGGUGUAGCGGUGAAAUGCGUAGAUAUCAGGAGGAACACCGAUGGCGAAAGCGGUCUUCUGGGCCAAUACUGACACUGAAACACGAAAGCUAGGAGAGCAAAC